rnacentral:rRNA from 1 species
AGUGAAUGCUGGCGGCAGGCCUAACACAUGCAAGUCGAACGGCAGCACAGGAGAGCUUGCUCUCUGGGUGGCGAGUGGCGGACGGGUGAGGAAUACAUCGGAAUCUACUCUGUCGUGGGGGAUAACGUAGGGAAACUUACGCUAAUACCGCAUACGACCUACGGGUGAAAGCAGGGGACCUUCGGGCCUUGCGCGAUUGAAUGAGCCGAUGUCGGAUUAGCUAGUUGGCGGGGUAAAGGCCCACCAAGGCGACGAUCCGUAGCUGGUCUGAGAGGAUGAUCAGCCAACAUGGAACUGAGACACGGUCCAGACUCCUACGGGAGGCAGCAGUGGGGAAUAUUGGACAAUGGGCGCAAGCCUGAUCCAGCCAUACCGCGUGGGUGAAGAAGGCCUUCGGGUUGUAAAGCCCUUUUGUUGGGAAAGAAAUCCAGCUGGCUGAUACCCGGUUGGGAUGACGGUACCCAAAGAAUAAGCACCGGCUAACUUCGUGCCAGCAGCCGCCGUAA